GACGAACGCUGGCGGCGUGCUUAACACAUGCAAGUCGAACGGAAAGGCCCUGCUUUUGUGGGGUGCUCGAGUGGCGAACGGGUGAGUAACACGUGAGUAACCUGCCCUUGACUUUGGGAUAACUUCAGGAAACUGGGGCUAAUACCGGAUAGGAGCUCCUGCUGCAUGGUGGGGGUUGGAAAGUUUCGGCGGUUGGGGAUGGACUCGCGGCUUAUCAGCUUGUUGGUGGGGUAGUGGCUUACCAAGGCUUUGACGGGUAGCCGGCCUGAGAGGGUGACCGGCAAAUUGGGGACUGAGUGAGGGCCCAGCCUCCACCGGGGGGAAGCAGGGGGGAUUUUGGAAAAAGGGGGGGAGGCCUGAUGCAGCACCGCCGGGUGGGGGAUGAGGCCCUCGGGUUGUAAACCCCCUUUCCCCUGAGAGGAGGCGGGGGGGAGGGUAAGGGGAAAAGAAGCACCGGCUAACUACGUC
rnacentral:rRNA from 1 species